rnacentral:rRNA from 1 species
GAUGAACGCUGGCGGCGUGCCUAAUACAUGCGAGUCGAGCGAACAGACGAGGAGCUUGCUCCUCUGACGUUAGCGGCGGACGGGUGAGUAACACGUGGAUAACCUACCUAUAAGACUGGGAUAACUUCGGGAAACCGGAGCUAAUACCGGAUAAUAUAUUGAACCGCAUGGUUCAAUAGUGAAAGACGGUUUUGCUGUCACUUAUAGAUGGAUCCGCGCCGCAUUAGCUAGUUGGUAAGGUAACGGCUUACCAAGGCAACGAUGCGUAGCCGACCUGAGAGGGUGAUCCGCCACACUGGCACUCAGACACCCUCCACACUCCUCCGCGGGGCAGCAGUAGGGUCUCUUCCCCGAUGGGCGACAGCCUUGCGGAGCCCCGCCGCGUGAGUGAUUAAGGUCUUCCGAUCGUAGAACUCUGUUAUUAGGGAAGAACGCAUGUCUACGUAGCUAUGCCCGUCUUGACGGUACCUACUCAGAAAGCCCCUCCUAACUCCGUG